UAAGUUGACCAGAUGAUCGCGGCUAUUUUACAAUAGCUGAGGAAAGUCCGAGCUCCAUAGGGCAGGAUGCUGGGUAACACCCAGUGGAGGCGACUCCCAGGAAAGUGCCACAGAAACAUACCGCCUAUUGCCUUGCAAUAGGUAAGGGUGAAAAGGUGAGGUAAGAGCUCACCAGGGUCCAGGUGACUGGGCUGCUAGGUAAACCCCAUCUGGAGCAAGUCUGAAUAGGGAGAAAUAUAAGGUGGCCCGCCUUUUCUCCGGGUAUAGACGCUAAAGGUAUCAGGUAACUGAUAUCUCAGACAGAUGAUCAUCCUUGACAGAACUCGGCUUACAGGUCAACUUAUACU
rnacentral:RNase_P_RNA from 1 species